AAUAUAAGAGGUCCAGCCUGCCCAGUGACAUAGUUAAACGGCCGCGGUACCCUGACCGUGCGAAGGUAGCAUAAUCACUUGUUCUUUAAAUGGGGACUCGUAUCAACGGCAUCACGAGGGCUUUACUGUCUCCUUUCUCCAAUCAGUGAAACUGAUCUCCCCGUGAAGAAGCGGGGAUGACAAUAUAAGACGAGAAGACCCCAUGGAGCUUUAAACCCAACGACACCCCUCAACCCCCCCCAACCCAUUAUAGUUGCUACAGCCCUGUUCGUUGGUUUUAGGUUGGGGUGACCGCGGAGUAUAAAUUACCCUCCACGACGAAUGGGACUACCCCCUUACCCAAGAGCUACUCCUCUAAGGAUCAACAGAUUGACGUAAAAUGAUCCAAGCAUUUGAUCAACGGACCAAGUUACCCUGGGGAUAACAGCGCAAUCCAUUUCAAGAGCUCCUAUCGACAAAUGGGUUUACGACCUCGAUGUUGGAUCAGGGUACCCAAGUGGUGCAGCCGCUACUAAUGGUUUGUUUGUUCAACAAUUAAAACCC
rnacentral:rRNA from 1 species